CAGAAGCUUAUUUCUUAGAAGGACAGUAGCCCACUUGACUCAAGUCUUCCAUCUGAAGGCAGAUUGAUUUGGCUCCUUUCUGCUACUAAGGAUUGUAACUGGUGAACGUAUUUGCCCCACCACCUCUAAGUGUGCCAAGGACAGAUGAGAAACAGCUCUUUGUCUGGAUAUUGAUGUGUUAUCUUCUUACAGCAUCGCAACACCUUGUGCCCACUGGCAGCACAGGAUAUGGAGGCUCUUGAAGUUGAUGACAUUAGCCCUGCCUUGGAAGUGACUGAAGACUUUUUCAAUAGUUUUGAUACAAAGCUUGAAAAGACUGUGCAGCCCUCUGAGGUGUAUGGCGUGCAUGAGGUCCCCGAACUGGUUGGGCACGAGGUAUUUGACCAGAUCACAGAAAGCAGGAACCUGAGGAACGUCGCCUCCUUAGCCAAAAGUACCCUCAUCUGGGAUCACUGCAAAAAUGGCCUCUUGGAAACCAAAGCGCAGACAGCAUUCCCUGCCAAAGACCAGUGUAUGGUGCAGAAGGGAACAGCUGCUGACAACCUUGCUUGGGCAGGGGAAAGGGAGACCACAUCUUUUAACAUCUUCCAUAUCUGCCAGCGGAGGAGAGACAGGCCUCGCUCGGUGAAUGACAUCCUGGUGCAGAAUGAGGAAACCUCCACAUUCAAACCAGGGCACAACAGGUCACGCUCUGAUAUCAGCCAUGUAAACUGGGGAGUGGUCUUCACGGGGACCUCCCUGCAGCAGCCACCUGCGCCCGGUCAGGACAAUAACUGCGCUCUGCUCUCUUACCUGGCACUAACCAAGGGAGAGGACAUCCAAGGAAACACAGAACACAAGCCAAUGUUCCCAAAUAUUCUGAAGAAGGGAUACUUAGAAAUUAGAAGAGGCAGCGACAGCUACUGGCAAACCUGUUACGCUGAGCUCUCCCCGUACAAACUGUACCUCUAUUGCUUGGACAGCAGUGGCAACCAGACUCUUCCCAGCGUGUAUCCACUCAUGCAUUUUCAAAGGGUCACUGUCAGUGGUUGCAUUGAAACCAAAGUGGUGGAUGCUGUCCUGUCAGACAACUCGCAGCUACAGCUGAAGGCGGAGUCCUCAUGGGAGGCUUUGGACUGGGGACAGAAGCUCUGGGAAUUGGUACGUGCUUCUGUGCCUGUUUUCACAAGACCACAGGAGAAACUGGAGAAUGUGCCAAAGCCUGAAAAUAACAGUGACCUUUCCAAAACCAAUGGAUUGUUAGAGAAGCCUGUGGAGCUCUUCCUAUCCAUGAAUUUGACUGAAAACACUAAAGAGUACCAAAAUAUCCUCAAAUCAGGGACUCUUUAUAGGUUGACCAUCCAGAAUAACUGGAAGGCAUUUACUUUUGUCUUGAACAGGUCUUAUCUCAUGGCAUUUCAACCGGGUAGGCUGGAUGAAGAUCCUCUGCUGAGCUACAAUGUGGAUGUGUGCCUGUCAGUCCAGACAGAUACUCAGGAUGGCUGUGACUCUUGCUUUCAGGUCAUUUUUCCCCAGGAUGUCCUCCGCCUGCGGGCAGAGACCCGUCAGAGGGCCCAGGAGUGGAUGGAGGCACUGAGAGCAGCAGCCAAUGCUACUAGAAGUUUAACUCAGAACCCACAGGUCACGCUUCGGAGCAAACCUGGAGAUCGCCCCUUUGGAAAUGAUCUUAGGAAGAGCAAGCGCCAGUCUGUGACCACCAGCUUCCUGAGCAUCCUGACCACGCUGUCUCUAGAGAGAGGGCUCACAGUUCAGAGCUUCAAGUGUGCAGGCUGUCAGCGCUCCAUAGGCUUGUCCAAUGGGAAAGCCAAGGUAUGCAGCUACAGUGGAUGGUAUUACUGCAGCACCUGCCAUGUGGAUGACACCUUCCUCAUCCCUGCACGGCUCGUUCAUAACUGGGACACUUCCAAAUACAAGGUAUCAAAGCAAGCCAAAGAGUUCCUGGAAUAUGUUUAUGAGGAGCCAUUGAUCGAUAUCCAGCAGGAAAAUCCCAUGUUGUACAAGCACGCCGAACCUCUGGCAACUGUUGUCCGCCUGAGACAGCAGCUAAAAUCUCUCCGAGCGUAUUUGUUCAGCUGCAGAGCAGCAGUGGCUGAAGAUCUGCGUAGAAGGAUUUUUCCCAGAGAGUAUCUUCUCCAGCAAAUCCAUCUUUAUUCUCUCGCAGACCUUCAGCAAGUUAUUGAAGGAAAGCUGGCUCCUUUCUUGGGGAAGGUGAUCAAGUUUGCCACCUCUCAUGUGUACAGCUGCAGCCUUUGUAGUCAAAAGGGUUUCAUUUGUGAGAUUUGCAACAAUGGAGAAAUCCUUUACCCCUUUGAGGACAUUUCUACAAGCAGGAACCUUUGGACUUCAUCUCUGUGAUGAAAUAGGCUACAAGCAAGGAGUUAAUAUUUGACCAGGACCACAAAAGCUGCACAAGAAAACCAUGGGGCGAGACCUUCUCUUCCUCCUUAUUUGCUUUACAAGGAACCACUGCCCUGCAACUGGAAAUGCCUCAACAGGUGGAACUUAUGUCUGUGAGGGCACGUAUAUUAUCAGCCUAUAUCCUGUGGGUUGGAGCCAUGAGCAGGGACUAGCUGGACUUCUGAGCAGACCUGUCUAGUGUGAUGGAGUUUCAUGAACUCCUCCACACAUGGAUUAAAGGGCUAGAAGAGGAGACAUCAAAAAGAGCAAGAUGUAUACUCCAGCACUCCUAGCAUCACUGACCCCACUUCAGCCAUUUCAGAGUAAUUUGCAGCAACACUUCAAGUAUGUUCCUCAGACAGAUGAGCACUCUGAGCCAGGUUGAGUGAAGAUGCACAUUGUAUAAAACCACUAAUUAUGCUUUCCUGGAAGCAGGGUUGGCAUAGCCCUGCAUUUGGAGACAAAGAACUCCCAGGCAAGGGGUAGGUAUAAAACAAGAUAUUGUAUUUGCAGCCUGUGAUAUGAAAUAACUUGAAUAACAAAAAGUGUUUUAGUGCAGGUAACUAACUCCCCCAUUAUUAGAAAUGCUGUCCCACCCCCAAAGGGAAGAAAACUGGAUACUCCUCCUCCUAGAGAGUCCCAGAUAAAUAAUUACUUACUAUAUUUUAAACAUUAGCUUUAGGCUGAAUCCAAGGAAGAGAGCCUGGGGCAAGAAGAGACUCUCUCACACAGGCAGCCUUCCGGCACUGUGUGCAAACCUCUGCCACCUCAGACUGCUCCUGUACUAGAACUGGCUGUUACUACAUAGGCCUGGACACAUGCUCAGUUACAGCACAGCAGCAUGAUUAAACUCAACCCUACAUAAAACAUAUCAUGAAGAUUAUUAAGGCCAGAAAGCCUGAUACUAAGCUAGCCUUCUAGCAGUUCUACCACUGAGGUAACACCACCAAUAGGGGCAGAAGAUGGCAAAUAGAAUUAAAACAGUAAUACUGACAUCUCAAAGCUGUCAGACACAGAACUUUGCAAGAAGGAAUUUAACACAAAAUCUAAUGGCCAAAUCCACACCACAUAAGCAUGCCUCCAGCCUGUAGUAUGAGCCUGGAGCCACAAGGAUGAACAUCCUCUGAAACCACAGAAAUCGUAGGGCUUAAGGCACCAAGACAAGACAGCAGAUUCAAAAUUCCUAAAAAGCUGAAAUCUACACCUGAGACAGGGAUAUAUACAAGGAUCAGCCUUA